CAGGUCAUGAUCUCCAGUGAGCUUUCGGCUAUCGAGCUACUGCAAGAUGCCACGGAGAACAGUCCCAAAAUGUUUAUCUUACUCCGUUGUCUGUUACUAAAUCACCGUGUGGCUGAUCAUACGGCUUAUCAACGUCAAAGCCCAUGAGAGAACAUCUAGUAUCUCCAGUGUCUGUUACUUCCUAUCACCUUGUGUCAGUUCUUACCAUCUUCCACUAACAAGCAGCUACAGGUCAUGAUCUCCAGUGAGCUUUCGGCUAUCGAGCUACUGCAAGAUGCCACGGAGAACAGUCCCAAAAUGUUUAUCUUACUCCGUUGUCUGUUACUAAAUCACCGUGUGGCUGAUCAUACGGCUUAUCAACGUCAAAGCCCAUGAGAGAACAUCUAGUAUCUCCAGUGUCUGUUACUUCCUAUCACCUUGUGUCAGUUCUUACCAUCUUCCACUAACAAGCAGCUACAGGUCAUGAUCUCCAGUGAGCUUUCGGCUAUCGAGCUACUGCAAGAUGCCACGGAGAACAGUCCCAAAAUGUUUAUCUUACUCCGGCCACGAUCCCCAAGGGGAUUUCUGCUAUCAAGCUAUGGAAAGAUGCCACAAAGAGCAGUGCCAAAAUAUUUAUCUG